rnacentral:rRNA from 1 species
GACGAACGCUGGCGGCGUGCUUAACACAUGCAAGUCGAGCGAUGAAGCACCUUCGGGUGUGAAUUAGCGGCGAACGGGUGAGGAACACGUGAAGAAUCUGCCUUCAACUCUGGGAUAACUCCGGGAAACCGGGGCUAAUACCGCAUAUGGUCUUCGGAUUAAAGGAUUUAUCCGCUUUGGGAGUGGCCCGCGUACGAUUAGAUUGUUGGUGAGGUAACGGCUCACCAAGUCGACGAUCGUUAACUGGUCUGAGAGGAUGAUCAGUCAGACUGGAACUGAGACACGGUCCAGACUCCUACGGGAGGCAGCAGUAAGGAAUCUUCCACAAUGGGCGAAAGCCUGAUGGAGCAACGCCGCGUGCAGGAUGAAGGCCCUCGGGUCGUAAACUGCUUUUAUGAGUGAAGAAUAUGACGGUAACUCAUGAAUAAGCACCGGCUAACUACGUG